rnacentral:rRNA from 1 species
GGACCCGCACAAGCGGUGGAUGAUGUGGUUUAAUUCGAUGCAACGCGAAAAACCUUAACCCACCUUUGACAUGUACGGAAUCCUUUAGAGAUAGAGGAGUGCUCGAAAGAGAGCCGUAACACAGGUGCUGCAUGGCUGUCGUCAGCUCGUGUCGUGAGAUGUUGGGUUAAGUCCCGCAACGAGCGCAACCCUUGCCAUUAGUUGCUACGAAAGGGCACUCUAAUGGGACUGCCGGUGACAAACCGGAGGAAGGUGGGGAGUGACGUCAAGUCCUCAUGGCCCUUAUAGGUGGGGCUACACACGUCAUACAAUGGCUGGUACAAAGGGUUGCCAACCCGCGAGGGGGAGCCAAUCCCACAAAGCCAGUCGUAGUCCGGAUCGCAGUCUGCAACUCGACUGCGUGAAGUCGGAAUCGCUAGUAAUCGCGGAUCAGAAUGUCGCGGUGAAUACGUUCCCGGGUCUUGUACACACCGCCCGUCACACCAUGGGAGCGGGUUCUGCCAGAAGUAGUUAGCCUAACCGCAAGGAGGGCGAUUACCACGGCAGGGUUCGUGACUGGGGUGAAGUCGUAACAAGGUAGCCGUAUCGGAAGGUGCGGCU